GGUGGGUACAGCUCAGUGGUAGAGUGCAUGCUUAGCAUGCAUGAGGUCCUGGGUUCGAUCCCCAGUACCUCCA
rnacentral:tRNA from 1 species